rnacentral:rRNA from 1 species
CCUACGGGAGGCAGCAGUGGGGAAUCUUGCGCAAUGGGCGAAAGCCUGACGCAGCCAUGCCGCGUGAAUGAUGAAGGUCUUAGGAUUGUAAAAUUCUUUCACCGGGGACGAUAAUGACGGUACCCGGAGAAGAAGCCCCGGCUAACUUCGUGCCAGCAGCCGCGGUAAUACGAAGGGGGCUAGCGUUGCUCGGAAUUACUGGGCGUAAAGGGAGCGUAGGCGGAUAGUUUAGUCAGAGGUGAAAGCCCAGGGCUCAACCUUGGAAUUGCCUUUGAUACUGGCUAUCUUGAGUGUGGGAGAGGUAUGUGGAACUCCGAGUGUAGAGGUGAAAUUCGUAGAUAUUCGGAAGAACACCAGUGGCGAAGGCGACAUACUGGCCCAUUACUGACGCUGAGGCUCGAAAGCGUGGGGAGCAAACAGGAUUAGAUACCCUGGUAGUCCACGCUGUAAACGAUGAGUGCUAGUUGUCGGCAGGCAUGCCUGUCGGUGACGCNGCUACGCAUAGCACUCCGCCGCGGGAGUACGGUCGCAGAUAACUACAAUAGAGUAGACGGCGUGAGACGUGCCGACGGACGACGACGAGGGGAGUUAGG